GAUGGACGCUGGCGGCGUGCCUAAUACAUGCAAGUCGAGCGAACGGACGAGAAGCUUGCUUCUCUGAUGUUAGCGGCGGACGGGUGAGUAACACGUGGAUAACCUACCUAUAAGACUGGGAUAACUUCGGGAAACCGGAGCUAAUACCGGAUAAUAUUUUGAACCGCAUGGUUCAAAAGUGAAAGACGGUCUUGCUGUCACUUAUAGAUGGAUCCGCGCUGCAUUAGCUAGUUGGUAAGGUAACGGCUUACCAAGGCAACGAUGCAUAGCCGACCUGAGAGGGUGAUCGGCCACACUGGAACUGAGACACGGUCCAGACUCCUACGGGAGGCAGCAGUAGGGAAUCUUCCGCAAUGGGCGAAAGCCUGACGGAGCAACGCCGCGUGAGUGAUGAAGGUCUUCGGAUCGUAAAACUCUGUUAUUAGGGAAGAACAUAUGUGUAAGUAACUGUGCACAUCUUGACGGUACCUAAUCAGAAAGCCACGGCCAACUACGUG
rnacentral:rRNA from 1 species